rnacentral:rRNA from 1 species
GAUGAACGCUGGCGGCGUGCCUAAUACAUGCCAGUCGAGCGAACAGAUGAGGAGCUUGCUCCUCUGACGUUAGCGGCGGACGGGUGAGUAACACGUGGAUAACCUACCUAUAAGACUGGGAUAACUUCGGGAAACCGGAGCUAAUACCGGAUAAUAUAUUGAACCGCAUGGUUCAAUAGUGAAAGACGGUUUUGCUGUCACUUAUAGAUGGAUCCGCGCCGCAUUAGCUAGUUGGUAAGGUAACGGCUUACCAAGGCAACGAUGCGUAGCCGACCUGAGAGGGUGAUCGGCCACACUGGAACUGAGACACGGUCCAGACUCCUACGGGAGGCAGCAGUAGGGAAUCUUCCGCAAUGGGCGAAAGCCUGACGGAGCAACGCCGCGUGAGUGAUGAAGGUCUUCGGAUCGUAAAACUCUGUUAUUAGGGAAGAAUAAAUGUGUAAGUAACUAUGCACGUCUUGACGGUACCUAAUCAGAAAGCCACGGCUAACUACGUG